rnacentral:misc_RNA from 1 species
UUCCUGUUCCAUUGCCUGAUGAGUACGGACGUGAAGACUGCAUUUGAGCGCAGGUCUCAGCGAAAGAGUCGGUCAAGUCUGUCAGCCACCCUCGGGAAGUCCAAUAAGAACGACAGAUUGAUUGACAACCGCAAAUCAUCUACGUCGGACACGUCUAUGACUGAAGUGUCUCUGUCCAAGUCAACCCCGCCCAUCAAUGGAAUUUCUCAGAACGAGGCUGGCUGGGAGAACUAUGGAUACGACCAUCCACCCGAGUUCUUUACGCGGUCGUUCAGUGACGGCAUCCCCUCGUGGAAAAACAUCAACAAUCUGCGCGCGCUUCAUACGCACUAUCAAACGACAGACGACAUCUACGCAUCACACAACAUCACGCAUCCUAUUGACGUGCAACAAUCAAUCGAAGCAAUAUACAGCAAACCGCUAAAGAGGCGAGACCGAGAGAAUCAUGUCCAUUUCAAUGAUGACAUGGAGUUGAAUGGACGCAAAACUGGCACCAUUGACUCGCCAAUACUUCAUUUGAACGGCCCAUAUAACAACAUGUUCGAAAAAAACUGGUCAAAGAGUUUUCUGGCCGAAAUUCAAGAGAAAGCCAAUAACAUAAAGCUGAGGAACUCUUUGGCAAUUGAAAACGGGAGGCUUGAAGUUUAGAUUCAAUGGACACUGCAUGAUAGCUUAUAAAUGGAAAGUUUAGCAUUGUGUUUAUUUAGAUAGAAGAGUAAUUGCUUACACAUUAUUUUGUUAAGAAGUAAUUUGCAGAAGUUAUAUAAAACUUGAAGAAAAAAAAUAAAUCCGACAAUGAUACAAGUAAAUGUUUAAUUAAGCUAAAACGCAUAAAUUUUCUGAACUUUUUUGAUACAUGCGUUUUGUAUAACAAUGUUAUCUGCACUUGUAAUGUUUUUAGUGUGUUGUUGUAAUUACUAAGGUAGGGUGCAUGCUCAUAAUUUUCCCCUCCAUCGCGGGUUUCUCCGAUGUAUAGCCCUUUUUGAUGCUUUGUGUCUCUGUGAAUUUUCCCCCCUUAAUUAUGCAUGACGGUUGGUCUUAACAUGGUCUCAACAUCGUCAGGUUCCAAAAUCUAGGGAGGGUUAAGGGUAGCGCAAAUUAAUCAUUUUCCUUCCAUUUAUAGUCUUUCUUUUUUUUAAAAUGAUGACUUACGUUAAUUGACUUAUUUAUUUUGGUAUAUUUUCACUGAUGGAAUGGAAAUAAUAUUUACGAAAACGAUUCAAAUUCAAUAAGAGAGUUAGCCCAGGAUCUUUUAUUUUCUAGGAUGCAUCUUAUCAAAAAACAAACAGAAAAAAUUCAACCAAACUUGACACAACGCAUAAGCUUCCAAAUUAUUCAUAUCAAAGGCUUAUUUUAUCAUCAUGAGAAAAAGAAGAAAACUGGAAAAAUAAUAAUCUCAAAGAGAAUUUGGGUAAAAGGUAGAGAAUACAUUGUUAAUCUUUUUACAUGAUAAAAUUUCAUUUUCAAAAAUAAUGCCCCCCCCCCCCAGCCAAGGUUUGGCCACAAUGUAUUUAUAUAUGCGUUGACCUACCAGAAAGCACAGGCAUAACAGAAUAUUCAAAUGUAUUUAGAUUUUGAAGGUAUGACAAUCUAUGUACCUCUAGAUUUAUGAAAAAUAUGUAUAUAUCAGACUAUCCAUAUCAUCGUGUUUAAUCAUUCUACUUUCAUUUUAAGUUAUCAUAAUUAUUGAACUUGAAUACAGGUAUCUGUAGACAGGUUGAUAUUUUCGUGUAUAUACUCAUUUAUUUAUUGUAAUGCAUAAAGGAAUGAAUGGUGCAAUCAAAAUAAGAAUUACACUUUGUUAAACACAUUAUCAUUUUCAGAAUGUUUCAAUAAAUUUGAAGUUAAGAAAAAAAGAAUUAUAAUAAUAUUACUAUCCAUUUUUUUCCCCCAUUUCAUUAUUUUUUUUGUCAUUCUAUAAUUUUCAAAAUCAUUUCCCUAUCUAAUUCAAUGACUGAAUACUUGUUUGCUAUUAUUAAUUGUAAGAACAGGAUGAAUGUUACAAAAAAUAAAUUUAUGGUAGUU